ACCUCUGGAAGAGCAGGCUGAGGGUGUACCAUGACCACUGCUGGGACCCUCUUCCACUCAAUCUGACCAAGAAGGAUUUUUAUAUAAUUCACCUCUACUCUGGAGAUCCUUCAGAUCUAAUCCACAUGGAUCACCCACUCGUGGGGGCAAGCAGUACCGAGAAUGGCUCACAUCUUCCUGCCUACAUCAGGUGACAAACAUCCUCAGCUACUAUGUGGACAACCCAGGAAAAGUGAAGCUGGAAGGACAGUGUGGGACAUUAAGUGGUACACUAA
rnacentral:lncRNA from 1 species